rnacentral:rRNA from 1 species
UAAACUCCGGUGCUGGGAGAUUGGCAUGCGUGACAUUAGCUAGUUGGCGGGGUAACGGCCCACCAAGGCGACGAUGUCUAGCUGGUCUGAGAGGAUGAUCAGCCACACUGGGACUGAGACACGGCCCAGACUCCUACGGGAGGCAGCAGUAGGGAAUAUUGGACAAUGGGGGAACCCUGAUCCAGCCAUGCCGCGUGAGGGAAGAAGGUCCUCUGGAUUGUAAACCUCUUUUGGCAGGAAACAAACCUGCGCUAUACGCGCAGCUGAGGGUACUUGCAGAAUAAGCACCGGCUAACUCCGUG